rnacentral:rRNA from 1 species
GUGGGGAAUAUUGGACAAUGGGCGAAAGCCUGAUCCAGCAAUGCCGCGUGAGUGAAGAAGGCCUUAGGGUUGUAAAGCUCUUUUACCCGGGAAGAUAAUGACUGUACCGGGAGAAUAAGCUCCGGCUAACUCCGUGCCAGCAGCCGCGGUAAUACGGAGGGAGCUAGCGUUGUUCGGAAUCACUGGGCGUAAAGCGCACGUAGGCGGCUUUGUAAGUUAGAGGUGAAAGCCCGGGGCUCAACUCCGGAACUGCCUUUAAGACUGCAUCGCUUGAAUCUGGGAGAGGUAAGUGGAAUUCCGAGUGUAGAGGUGAAAUUCGUAGAUAUUCGGAAGAACACCAGUGGCGAAGGCGGCUUACUGGACCAGAAUUGACGCUGAGGUGCGAAAGCGUGGGGAGCAAACAGGAUUAGAAACCCGGGUAGUCC